rnacentral:rRNA from 1 species
GAUGAACGCUGGCGGCGUGCCUAAUACAUGCAAGUCGAGCGAACAGAUGAGGAGCUUGCUCCUCUGACGUUAGCGGCGGACGGGUGAGUAACACGUGGAUAACCUACCUAUAAGACUGGGAUAACUUCGGGAAACCGGAGCUAAUACCGGAUAAUAUAUUGAACCGCAUGGUUCAAUAGUGAAAGACGGUUUUGCUGUCACUUAUAGAUGGAUCCGCGCCGCAUUAGCUAGUUGGUAAGGUAACGGCUUACCAAGGCAACGAUGCGUAGCCGACCUGAGAGGGUGGACGGACAAGCAGGCACGGAGAAACGGUCGAGACUCGUACGGGAGGCAGCAGUAGGGAAUCUUACGCAAUGGGUGACAGCCGGACGGAGCAACGGCGGGUGAGGGAAGAAGCUCUACGGAUCGGAAAACGCUGUUAUCAGUGAAGAACAAAUGUGCAACUAACUAUGCAGGACUUGACGGGACCUAAUAAGAAAGCAACGGCUAACUACGUG